AAAAAGAUAAACUUUGAUUUUCCGUGUCCAACGUUUAACUGUCCGUUUUAUAUAAAAUUUUUUAUAAUUAGUAUUUUUAUUGUUGUUAGAUGAUAAAACAUGAUUAAUACUUUAAGCGUAACGGACGGUCAAACGUUGGACACGGAAACCCAGGGUUUGUCUUUUU
rfam:Oryza rufipogon genomic scaffold, chr03